AUGGAAAGCAAGUUAGACAUGUUAUUCAAGAAAAACCUAAAUACAGUAGCAAUUAAUCUUGCUCAGACUCAACAAGCAGAUGCUGCAGCUACUUCCGAAGUCCUAAGAAAACACGUAGGCCACCUAUACAGCGGAAUCAAAUGGAGAUAUGAUGAGAUAAGAAGCAGCGGCGGCGCUCAAUUUGUUGAUCGGAGAAGGAGGCUUGAGGAAGAUGAUGAUGAGACAGAGAGUUUGAGACGGUGGUUUCGCGGCGGCCGCAAAACGCAGGAGAGGAAGUUGAGACUGGCGUCGUUUCCCGAGGAAGAUCAAAGGCCACAAACUUAA